UCUGCCGCCGAGUUACCAAAGUUCAAGCAAAGAAAGAACCGAAAAAGAUUACAACAAAUGGCAUUAGGGUCUCGAUCGAUAACCGGAGAUCUAGCAAUCGAUAGAGAACGGUGAAGAUCUUAUGCACGUCUAACCGCCAUCGACAUAGCCCUCGCCAAUCUUCUUCGCGAAUCACCUAACACUCUCUACAUUACAACCAAGUAAGUAAAACUCAGACACAUUCACUCAUUCAUUCAGAUUCGUAAACCACUAUUCUUGCGGUUGUUUAUUUGUGAUGUUCUAUGUUCUAAAGACAAGUGAUAUGUAUUGGAUGACUUCCAAUAUUUUGCAUUGGAUAUGUAUUUUUUAGUUUUUUAUUUUGAUUUUUGUAUAAUGCUUUUCGAUGAUUUUGACACAAACUACCCGGGACUGCAACAAACUUACAACAGCAAGGCAUGAAUCUUAUGGUGGAGUUCGAUUGAAAAAAAUGGGUGCCUUCCAGUAUUUUGGACUUAAGGAAGAUAGUACCUCUAAUCAUUAUUCAGCAGAUUGAUGGCAAGAAAUUUUUCAAGCCCAAUUUGGAACCAGAUCACCUUGCAGCCUGGGUGAAGGAAUACAAGGAUGGAAAAUUUGCUCUUUCAGUACUUGAAGAAUUUCUUUUCCCUCCACACUUUUUUAGUUCUCUUCCAUCACUUCAGUACACUUCUCUUUCCUUAUUAUGUCAUUCACUGAUUCAUGCUUCAACGCUAACCGGUGAUUUAUUUAACUUCAAGUUUUCUGUUUCCCAAUGAAAGCUCCACCAUUCUCAAGUUUGAAUACAUCAGUGGCUAUUUGGAUGAUCCCAUUUGAACUUAGUGGAGCAAUAUGGGAAAAGAAACCAUACAAGAAACCGCAAACUCUGUCAUUCAAUUCUGGUUCAUAGGGUGCAUUUGAAGACAGAAGUUUCUCCUUUAUUAAGGAUGUCAAGACCAUUGACAACAUGAUUUGUCUUAGGUUUUGUUUGGAUUGAUGGAAUCGGA